rnacentral:rRNA from 1 species
AAGUGGCGCACGGGUGAGUAACACGUGAAUGAUCUACCUCCGAGUGGGGAAUAACCUAGAGAAAUCUGGGCUAAUACCGCAUAACACUUACGAGUCAAAGCAGCAAUGCGCUUGGAGAGGAGUUCGCGGCCGAUUAGUUAGUUGGCGGGGUAAUGGCCCACCAAGACGAUGAUCGGUAUCCGGCCUGAGAGGGCGCACGGACACACUGGAACUGAAACACGGUCCAGACUCCUACGGGAGGCAGCAGUGGGGAAUUUUGCGCAAUGGGGGAAACCCUGACGCAGCAACGCCGCGUGGAGGAUGAAAUCCCUUGGGAUGUAAACUCCUUUCGAUCGGGACGAUUAUGACGGUACCGGAAGAAGAAGCCCCGGCUAACUUCGUGCCAGCAGCCGCGGUAAUACGAGGGGGGCAAGCGUUGUUCGGAAUCAUUGGGCGUAAAGGGCGCGUAGGCCGGUUGACAAGUCUGAUGUGAAAUCUCUGGGCUCAACU